GGUGUAGCUCAGUGGUAGAGGACUUGCCUAGAAUGCAGGAGGCCCUGAGUUCUAUCCCCAACCCA
rnacentral:tRNA from 1 species